rnacentral:rRNA from 1 species
AUUGAACGCUGGCGGCAGGCUUAACACAUGCAAGUCGAGCGGGGGAGGUUACUUCGGUAACUGACCUAGCGGCGGACGGGUGAGUAAUGCUUAGGAAUCUGCCUAUUAGUGGGGGACAACAUUCCGAAAGGAAUGCUAAUACCGCAUACGCCCUACGGGGGAAAGCAGGGGAUCUUCGGACCUUGCGCUAAUAGAUGAGCCUAAGUCGGAUUAGCUAGUUGGUGGGGUAAAGGCCUACCAAGGCGACGAUCUGUAGCGGGUCUGAGAGGAUGAUCCGCCACACUGGGACUGAGACACGGCCCAGACUCCCACGGGAGGCAGCAGUGGGGAAUAUUGGACAAUGGGCGGAAGCCUGAUCCAGCCAUGCCGCGUGUGUGAAGAAGGCCUUUUGGUUGUAAAGCACUUUAAGCGAGGAGGAGGCUCCUUUAGUUAAUACCUAAAGAGAGUGGACGUUACUCGCAGAAUAAGCACCGGCUAACUCUGUGCCAGCAGCCGCAGUAAAAC